GUGCUCAGAUACGACCAAGGUCAGGAGAAGAAAGAAGAGAUGGCGAAGAAAGAAGCCUCAUGUCGAAAUGCUACGGAUUUUAUAGGGAGGGCGUUUUUGCCACUAACCACUGAGCCAGUAAAGGGCGUAUUCCAGCUUGCAUGAUGUCUGAGCUCGCUUUGUCUUCAACGAUGUAAUAUGUCUAGAAGAUGAUUUUAACCACAGCUCGAAAGGGAAUUGGUAGCAUCCUCCAUCAAAGGCAUCAGAUUUGUGUUCGCAGUACCCGAGCCACGAUUGUUUCGCUUGCCGACGUUUGUCAUUUAGACUAUUUGCAGGGUUGACAUUUAAUAUGAAAUGCACAGUUUACUUCGGGUGGUAAUAUUUUUCGACAAAAUGUAUGUGUAUGAGAUGGAACAACGCACGUAAAUUCAUGACUCAUAACUUUUAAUGGGUAAAAAGAAAGAGCGUAAAUCUGUAUUGAGUGUCAUCCCUGUAUUGCCCCUAUUCCACACCGACUACGAAUUCGAGGAACCACCAAAAAUUGAUAAAUCCCAGGGUUAUUAGUUUAAUUGUCAUAAAUUAUUUACACGUACCGGUAAUCUCUUAACUGAUUUUUGCUUAGUGUCGGCCAAUUCUUGCAAUUUUGAAAGAUCGUGCAAUCGGCUCAAAAAUUCGCACAAGUUUAUUUAUCACCAGUUGAUGUUCAUACUUCAGUUCUAUAGCCAGUGCUCUAUGAAGUGAAUUCAAGCCAAAACAGGGACACGAUUUCUGCCAGAAAUGUACAAAAUUUUGCGAUUCCCCACCAUUUCUAAAAUUCGUCAAUUCCUGGCAGUUUGUAGAGUUCGUAGACGGUAUGGAAUAGGGCAUAUAUCUCAUGAAGAGUCCGCGUAUACUCAUGUGUUCCGGCACAGUACUCUUUCUGUCCAUGGUGUUUUUUUGGUAAAUUUAUGUGACUUUUUUUAGUUCGGAAAAAAGGUGGCCAUCGGUUCCUGGAACCGGAACGAAACUUGUGAAAAUUCACUUUAAGAGAAAUUAUGUCAGUACAAAAAUGCUUUACUUAAUUAAGUAUUGUGUGAAAGUAAUCGAUGCAGUGAUUGUUGUUAAGUUAUCACUAAUGUUCAGAAAGAGUACUGUGCUAGUUCGACCUUUUUCAUUUUUGUUUUUUAUUAUUUAUUUAUUUAUUGCGGAGGUAUAUUUCGUGUGGGCAAAUCUGCAAUUAGAUAUAUUGCUUUGCACUUGUUUUUAUUCCUUUUGAAUAGAUCUCUUACAUUUAACUUAAUAAGUUAACCCCUGGGAACAAAAUUCUCAACUUCAUUACGUGUAGUGCACAUAGGCGACUUUUAUUACUAUGUUGUUUGUUUAGUUCUAAAAAAAAAUUGUGAUGAAAAUCUGCAAAAAUUAUAACUUUGACUUGUUUGUUUCAGAAAUAACGGUAUUAUGAAACUGCACAAAUUUGCCUAGGUUAAUGCAGAAUUGCCCACACGUUUUGAAUAAGUAUUCUUAAAACCGUGAAAAUGGAAUUGUGACGUAUGCUAGGAAUAAACUUGCUUUGGUUCUCGGUGUUUUGAUAGCGUGUGUAUUCAAAUAUCACAAACCAGAAAUGGGGUUAUCAUCAAGAAAUAACUGGUUAAUUAUUAUAAGUGGAUUAUUUCGGAGCUUUUAUCAUUAAAAUAUCUAUGUUGGACUGGCAUUUAUCAUAACCUUUUCCACUUUGAAUUUUUGAAAAUUGCUUAUCAAACUCAAAUUGAUUAUUAUACCUUUAUGAAAAUUUAAUAUUUGGGGUAGCGAGUAUGUCCACGAUAUUGAUUUAAGGUCACCAACUUUUUCCAAUCUUCUACAAGUACAAUAUGAUUGAAUUCAUUGAGAAAUUUACAAGAUUUUUUUUUUUUUAAAUUUCAUAAGACUUUAUCAACGCGUAUCGCUAUUUUAAAGCAGUUCUUUCACAUUGUCAAUUAUUUGCGACUUUACCAAAUUAUCAUCUAAAUAUAAUAUUUUUCAUGGUUAUUUUGUUUCUCUCAAUAAACAUCAAAAAUCGACAUUCGCAUAAAAAAUUGUCCUAUUUGCCAUUUUUAGAACUAAUUUUUACCAAAACUUUGUAGCUAGGCGUUCUAUGUAAUGUUGGUCUUGUACACAGUACUUCUAAAAUUCUGCAAUGUCUUUUGGUAAGGUCAAAGGAUAAUUGAAAAAAAAAGACCGCAUAUUAUGCCAGUCCAACACGUACUAAUGGGUUAUAUAUGCUUUGUGUCUCUUGAUCACUGAACACCGGGAACCAGAGUUAAAUUUAUCAGUAUUUUCUGAAUCAAUGUGUUGGUAAGUUAUAUCAAGUAAGCUGAUUUCUGUGUAUUCACUUUCUUGUGUGUAUUAUGCCUAAGAUGGAUAUGGAUUAGAUACAGUUGUAAAAUCACCAUGCUUUUUAUGUCGUUCCUGAUUCGCACGCUGUGAAACUUGUUUUCUAAGGAAAAAAUUUAGCAGAUACAUGUACAUGUUUUAGGAUUUGAUGUGAGCUACAUAUAUCUAUCAACUAGUAGGACAACCAAAAAUCUUUGAGAAAUAAUUUGUUUUGGCUCAGUCUUUGGUUUUGCGUGCGAACUUCAGCGCGACGACAUAGAACAAGGAGUGUUUGUAUAUUUGAGGUGAAUGACAUUAUAUGCAUUUUGAAUUCCCGUAUGCGAAUGAACUACUGAGUUUACGCAAUUUUUUCAAUGAAAUAAAAUAAAUGCACAAAGUUCAAUUAAAUUUUAAUCGGACCUCAUCCUGUAAAUUCUAUUUUCUGGUUUUUACAUUGUUGGCUGCUUCAUUCCACAGAAUCGUUUCUAUAUAUAAAAAUAAAAAUGUAGUUUGAGUAGUGAUUUUCAAAAUGCAUAGAAUGUCUGAC